UACAGAGGUGGCAAGCGUUGUUCGGAAUUACUGGGCGUAAAGGGCGCGUAGGCGGUCUUCUAAGUCCUGUGUGAAAUCCCUCGGCUCAACUGAGGAACUGCACGGGAUACUGGAAGACUUGAGUUCGGGAGAGGGAAGCGGAAUUCCGGGUGUAGCGGUGAAAUGCGUAGAUAUCCGGAGGAACACCGGUGGCGAAGGCGGCUUCCUGGACCAACACUGACGCUGAGUGAGCGAAAGCCAGGGGAGCAAACGGG
rnacentral:rRNA from 1 species